GCAGUGGUGGUUCAAUGGCAGAAUUCUUGCCUUCCAUGUGGGAGACCUGGGUUCAAAUCUUGGCCAAAGUA
rnacentral:tRNA from 1 species